rnacentral:rRNA from 1 species
CAGCCGCCGCGGUAAUACCGAGGGUGCGAGCGUUAAUCGGAUUUACUGGGCGUAAAGCGUGCGUAGGCGGCUUCUUAAGUCGGAUGUGAAAUCCCUGAGCUUAACUUAGGAAUUGCAUUCGAUACUGGGAAGCUAGAGUAUGGGAGAGGAUGGUAGAAUUCCAGGUGUAGCGGUGAAAUGCGUAGAGAUCUGGAGGAAUACCGAUGGCGAAGGCAGCCAUCUGGCCUAAUACUGACGCUGAGGUACGAAAGCAUGGGGAGCAAACAGGAUUAGAUACCCGCGUAGUCCCUGUCUCUUAUAA